AGCGAACGCUGGCGGCAGGCUUAACACAUGCAAGUCGAGCGGGCACUUUCGGGUGUCAGCGGCGGACGGGUGAGUAACGCGUGGGAACGUGCCCUCUGGUCCGGAAUAACUCAGGGAAACUUGAGCUAAUACCGGAUACGCCCUUUUGGGGAAAGGCUUGCUGCCGGAGGAUCGGCCCGCGUCUGAUUAGCUAGUUGGUGAGGUAACGGCUCACCAAGGCGACGAUCAGUAGCUGGUCUGAGAGGAUGAUCAGCCACACUGGGACUGAGACACGGCCCAGACUCCUACGGGAGGCAGCAGUGGGGAAUAUUGGACAAUGGGCGCAAGCCUGAUCCAGCCAUGCCGCGUGAGUGAUGAAGGCCUUAGGGUUGUAAAGCUCUUUUAUCCGGGACGAUAAUGACGGUACCGGAGGAAUAAGCCCCGGCUAACUUCGUG
rnacentral:rRNA from 1 species